UACGUAGGUGCCCAGCGUUGUCCGGAUUUACUGGGCGUAAAGAGCGCGCAGGCGGUCGUUCAAGUCGAGUGUGAAAGCCCCCGGCUCAACUGGGGAGGGUCAUUCGAUACUGAUCGACUCGAAGGCAGGAGAGGGAAGUGGAAUUCCCGGUGUAGUGGUGAAAUGCGUAGAUAUCGGGAGGAACACCAGUGGCGAAGGCGACUUCCUGGCCUGUUCUUGACGCUGAGGCGCGAAAGCUAGGGGAGCAAACGGG
rnacentral:rRNA from 1 species